UGUCACUGUAAAGAAACAGACAGCAAACAUGCUGGAACAAGGCAGAUUUGAGCUCUGAGGUGGAAAACUAAAUUUAGGCCUCCUUGGCACUCCCCAAUAACCCGGGAACUGGAUCCACUACUGGUCCAAGAAGUCUGAUGAGGAACCCUGUCUGGAUUGGGCCGGAAGCUGGGAUUCGAUGCUCUGCAGACCAGUGCUCAAAAACGUGGUUAUUUUUGAGAGGCCACCGCCAGUCCAGAACAUUGGUGUCUCGACUUCCACGCCCAGAUCCAGUUGACAAGGUAGCCCGUCGCUACUCACACCUGUGGAGGGUGCUGCUGGAUAUUAGCUUCUGUCAUGGUUUAUGUGAGCGCAAAGAAUGUGUUUGUUCUCCUUCCUCUCCUGAUCUAGCGCACCACCCUGGGAAGUGCAUGUCACAGACCAACUCGACUUUCACCUUUACCACCUGCCGCAUCCUGCACCCUUCAGACGAGCUCACGCGGGUCACGCCAAGGUAAGGGACUGUGGCCCUGGAGUGGAUGGCCCUGAAGUGGGUGGAAAUGGGACAAGUCAAGGACAGGCCUUUCUCACAAGAUGUCAUGAUGAAAGUCAGGAGGUUCAUUCAAAGGCCGAUUCCAAGACACGUGUGGUGUCGCAUGCCUUAAAUCCCUGUAUUUGAGGCCAACCUAGUCUAUGUAAUGAGUUCUAGGACAGCCAAGGCUACAUAGUGAGACUCUUGUCAAGGAAAAAAAAAAAA
rnacentral:lncRNA from 1 species